rnacentral:lncRNA from 10 species
CCAAGGCCUUGGGAACCCAGCCCUCAUACCCUUGUGCCCUGGAGGUGGGACAAGGAUUAAAAAAGGAUGACUUUGGAGCUGUAGGUUUGAAUAAGUGGCCUGCUGGGUUUUAGAUUUUCAUGGGACCUGUAAGUCCCGUUUGUGUUUUGUUCUUCUCUGGCAAAAAUCUUCCUUUUGGUUGGGAAUUCUUACUCAAUGUCUGGACAAUCAUACCUUGGAAGUAGUUAACUUGCUUUGUAUUUCAGAGGCUCAGGAGCAGAAGGGACCACAUCUUUGUCUCAGAUGGGACUUUGGGCUUCAGACAUUUAAAUAAAUGCUGGAAUGAGUUAAGGCCUUGUGGGUCUUAGCCAAGACGAUGGGGAAAAGUCAUUGAAGGCAUUUCAUAGCUUCACUUCACAGUACUAACUUUCUAUAUAAUCAUAACAAAAAGGGGUUUGAUUGGCUCAUGGUUCUGCAGGCUGUAAAAAAAAAAGCACAGUGGCUUGGGGAAUGGUAAGUAAGGCAUCAUUGUAUUUUGCAAAGUGAGAAGGACAUGAGAUUUGUGGGGCAGGGACAGAAUAAUAAGAUUUGGCUGUGUGUCCCUAUGGAAACUCAUGUGGAGUUGUAAUCAGAAAUGUUACAAGUAGGGCCAGGUGGAAGGUGAUUUAAUUGUGGAGGGCACUGGGUAUUGGAAGUUGGGGAUUGGGAAGCAUGGGUGGAUUAUGGUGGGGGUGAGGGAUGAAAAGUGGGGGUGGGGAAGGAUCCUUCACAAAUGGUUAAACACCAUCUCCUUAAUUCUUUCUUCAUAAUGGUGAGUUCUUGUGAUGGUUUUGGAGCUGUGAGAUUGAAUGGAUACUGGCCUCCUGGGUUUUGGACUUGCAUUGGCCCUGUGAUCCCAUUUGUGUUAUUUUCCUGGCAAACCUCUCCCCUUUGGAUGGAGAAAACUUUCCUAAUGCCUGUACCAUCUUUGUAUCUUGAAAGAAAAGAAAUCCCUUUUAAAUUCAGGAACUUAUAGGCAAAAGGGACUGUAGCCUUUUCUCAGGUGAGACGUUGAACUUUUUACAUUUGAGCUAAUGCUGAAAUGACUUAAGACUUUCGGCAACUUUUGAAAAGGCAUGAUUGUAUUUUACUCUGUGAGAAGGAUAUGAUAUUCGGGGGAUCAGGGUCAGAAUAAUAUGGUUUAGCUGUGUGUCCCUACCUAAACUCACAUGUAAUUGUAAUCCCGAAUGUUGCAGGUGGGGCCUGGUGGGAGGUGAUUUAUUCAUGGAUGGGAGAGGGGUGUGAUUGGACAUAAAAACAGGUGGGUAAAGUGGGGAGGAGUAGGCUGGCUGUAGGGUGGUUUGUAGCAGGAGGGGAGUAGCCUGCCGCAGAGGCAGAGGCUCAUGGAAAAACUCUACUAAGGCAGUGUACCUGUGGCUUUGCAGGGUUUAGCACCUGUAGCUGCUCUCAUGGGCUGGGCUGAUGUUGAGUGCCUGUAGCUUUUCUAUACUUGGGGUGUGAGCUGUUGAUGGAUCUACGGGUCUGGGGUCUGGAGGAUG